UACGUAGGGUGCGAGCGUUUGUCCGGAAUUAUUGGGCGUAAAGAGCUCGUAGGCGGUGUGUCACGUCGAUCGUGAAAACCUACAGCUUAACUGUGGGCGUGCGGUCGAUACGGGCAUCACUGGAGUUCGGCAGGGGAGACUGGAAUUCCUGGUGUAGCGGUGAAAUGCGCAGAUAUCAGGAGGAACACCGGUGGCGAAGGCGGGUCUCUGGGCCGAUACUGACGCUGAGGAGCGAAAGCGUGGGGAGCGAACAGG
rnacentral:rRNA from 1 species